rnacentral:other from 1 species
UCGGUUCUGCGCGGCCCGCCACCGAUUUACAAUGGUUGAGCCUAUGUCGUGAAUUAGGGAGACCGAUGCCAUCGCCAGUGCGAUCCCUCACCGUAGGGAUGCGCCGGAGGCGAGGGCUUCGACCGCAAGGUCAAGGUCACCCACCUGUUAACGCAGGUUCAAUUACGACUUCGGAGCGGCCGCCGCGGUUCUUCC